rnacentral:rRNA from 1 species
UACGAACCGUCCAAACGUUACUCGGAAUCACUGGGCUUAAAGGGUGCGUAGGCCGCGCGGAGGGUGGGAUGUGAAAUCCCCCGGCUCAACCGGGGAAUAGCGUCCCAAACCGCCGUGCUCGAGGGAGACAGAGGUGAGCGGAACUGAUGGUGGAGCGGUGAAGUGCGUUGAUAUCAUCAGGAACACCAGUGGCGAAAGCGGCUCACUGGGUCUUUUCUGACGCUGAGGGACGAAAGCUAGGGGAGCGAACAGG